ACGCUGAUGCAUAACUCCAGGUCUUGCUGGACGGCAGAAACAAGAAGGAGUCUUGGGUUCAUUUCUGAAACUCCGUCCUCUUGUGCGCCACCCUUCCUGCAGGGAGGGGUGGGAGUUUUCUCUCUGGUCCUGCUCACUGCUGGGCCCCCACCUGCAUCUUCCUGAGAGGAUCCUACUUGGAGGUUGCAGUAAUCUAAUUCAGGUAUCAUUCUGGGCACCUCCACAUAUUUCCAAGAGCAAAGAAAAUCAAUAUAUCACCUUUACCAUGAAAAGGGAUGACUUGAUUUGGACCCACUAGGAAAAUCAGGACAAAAAUCUGAGUUAACAUGUUAUGAAAAAUAACAAAACAUCAACUUCAAGAGAGUUGAAUUAAGAAAAAAACUUAAUUUAAGUUCAAGCCAUAUUCCAAAACUGAUUAUCAAAAAGGGAAACUAUUUAAGAAUGAAAUCUGAGGAAUGCAAUGUAUGUCACAGUGGGCGUGAUCAACUACAAGCUGGUGAAAAAUGUGAUGCCACUAAGGUACCUGGGAACUCACUCCAGUUCUGUGAGCCUAUUAGCAUCACAAGAGUCAGACAGUGAAGAAAGCACUUGAAAAUAUUGGACCAGUGAAAGUUCACAAGAGAGAAGAUACUCUGUAAAUCUGAAUGGAUUCAUAUGGAAGAAACCUAUAAUAUAUCAACUGUCACUGUUGAAAAGACAACUCCAAUAAAGAAAAAACUUUCUAUAAAAAUUCUAAUCUUAGUAUGCAUCAAGAAACCCAUACAAGAAAAAAAUUAUAUGAAUAUAUUAGGUAUAUGGAUCUCAACACUUACCAAUCACAUCCUGCAAUAAAUCAGAGACCACAUACAGGAAAAAACCCUAUGCAUGUAAACCUUAUGAAAAAUCAGUCAGUUGUAAGUGCUGUCACAACAUCCAUUACAGUACUCACAUAUAGGAAAACUGCAAUGUGUGUAAUGAAUAUGGAGAGACCACUUAUCAGAUGUCAGAUCUCAUUACACAUAAGAAAAUUCACAAACAGAGGAGACCACAUGAAUGUAAAGAAUAUGGAAAAGCCAUUUUCCAGAAAUCAUAGUUCAUAACACAUCAGAAAAUUCACACAGAGGAGAAACCUUAUGAAUGUAAUGAUCGUGAAAAAGCCUUUUAGAAUAAGUCAGAGCUCAGAAAGCAUCAGAUAACUCACACAGGGGAGAAACCUCAUGAACGUAAUGACUGUGGGAAAGCCUUUGGAUGAAAGUCAGACCUCAUUUCACACCAGAGAAUUCACACACGGGAGAAACUUUACAAAUGCAAUCACUGUGGAAAAUCCUUUUGCUCUAAAUCACAUCUCAUUUCACACCAGAGAAUUCACACAGGGGAGAAACCUUAUGAAUGUGAUGAUUGUGGAAAAACCUUUGGCUGUAAGUCAGCCCUCAGCAGACAUCAGAGAAUUCCCACAGGGAAGAAACCUUACAAAUGCAAUCACUGUGGAAAAUCCUUUUGCUCUAAAUCAUAUCUCAUUGCACACCAGAGAAUUCACACAGGGGAGAAAGCUUAUGAAUGGGAUGACUAUGGAAAAGCUUUUGGCCAUAAAUCAUCCCUCGUCAUACAUCAGCGAAUUCACAAAGGGGAAAAACCUUAUGAAUGUAAUGACUGUGGAAAAGCCUUUGGCCUUAAGCCACAGCUCAAAAGGCAUCAGAAAAUUCACACAUGGGAGAAACUAUGAAUGUAAUGACUGUAAAAAAGACUUUGGCCAUAAGUACAACUCAAAAUGCAUCAGAGAAUUUACAUAAGGGAGAAGUCUCAUGAAUGUAAUGACUGUAGAAAAACCUUUGGCCAGAAGUCAAACCUCAUAAUGCAUCAGAGAAUUCACACACAAGAGAAAAUCAUGCAUGUAAUGACUGGAAAAUAUUUUUGCUAUAAAUCACAGCUCAUGAAACACCAUAGAAUUCACACAGGGGAGAAACUUUAUGAAUGUUAUAGUGUGGAAAAGUCUUUGGCCAUAAGUCACAUCUCAUAAUCCAUCACAGAAUUCACACAGGAAGAAUCCUUAUGAAUGCAAAGACUGUGGAAAAUCCUUUUGCUAUAAAUCAUAACUCAUAACACAGGAGAAUGCACACAGGGAGAAACCUCAUGAACCCAUUAACUGGAAAAGCCUUUGGCCAGAAGUCAAACCUCAUAUUACAUGAAAGAAUUCACACAAGAGAGAAGUUUUAUGGAUGUAAUGACUGUGAAGAGUCUUUGGCCAUAAGCCAAAGCUGAUAAUCCAUCAGUUCACAGAGGAGAGAAAUUUCAUGAAUGCUACUUGAAUUCUGGAGAUAACUAAAGUGCUAUGAAAUAGAAGAGCACAAUCUCUGGUGGUAGAAGUCAAAAUAAUGAUCUGAUCUGGGGAGCUAGACAGAGUGCUAGUAGGAUCAACAACAGAUUGAUAAGGUAGCUUCCUGAUACAGAUCUAAGUAUUAAUACAUGGCAAUUCUUUCCUUAACACCAUCAAUGUUGGAAAAUACAUGAUGUGGUACAUCUUUAGAAGCCAUUUCUUAAUCAGUGAUUAUAGUAGCAUCAAUCAGCAAACUAACAAGUGCCCCACUCACUGUAAGUCAUAAUCCAUGUAGGAAUCAAAUACCAAAAUUAAAUUCUGAGAUAUUAGAGAAUUUUUGAAAAUAUCUGUCCUCUUCCUGCCACUCAGGAUUAUUUGUAAACAGAAUAUAUGCCAAUGAGCUUUAGAAUAUAGAAAUUUAUUGAGGCAUUAGUGGUUAAAAACAUUGGAAAAGCAUACACACACAAAAAGCAUUCCACCUAGAUUAAGAAAUGGCUUCCCAUGUGGGCACCAGUUUGAAUCCCAGCUGCUCCACUUAUUGAGCUUUAUGUUAUGGCCUGGGGAAGCAGUAGAAGAUGGCCCAAGUUCUUGGGCCCCUGCACCCAUGUGAGAGACCUGGAAGAAGCUCCUGGAUAGGCCCAGCUUUGGCCAUUGCAGCCACUGGGGAAUGAGUCAAUGGAUGAAAGAUCUCUCUCUCUCUCUCCCCGUCUCCCUCUGCCUCUUUGUAACUCUGCUUUUCAAAUAAACACAUCAUUUUUUUUUUAAAUUUAGUGAAAUUUAAACCUUGAAAUUUUCACAUCAGAUUUGUACUAGAAUUUUGGAUAUUUGAGUGGCUUGAAUACUAGUAUGGAUUUAUGCCAUACUUUAAGUAUCUAUGUGCAUAGACUAUUUAUGAUGAGAAUAUAAAGAAGAAGUACAAAUAGAAGUCUUUCUUUUUUUAAUUUUAUUUAAGGUAUAGAAAUUUCAUGUACUUAAUACAUAAAGAUUUAGGAAUUUAGUGAUCCUUUCCACCCUAUCCUCCUUCCUACUUAUGCUCUCACACUUCUUCCUCCACUUUAUUCUUUCCUCAUUGUUAUUUUUUACAAAGGUCUGUUUUCAGACUAAUUAAUGCUUAUAAGAUUAACCCUAGACUAAUAAAGUGUUCAAAAAAUUGUAUGAAAAACUAUUCCUCAAGACAAGGACUGUUAAAAAUCAUCACAUUUUUAUUUAUUUAUUUUACUUGAAAGUCAGAGUUACACAGAAAGACUGGGAGAGGCAGAGAGAGAGGUCUAACAUCCACUGGUUCACUCCCCAGUUGGCCACAAUGGCCAGAGCUAUGCUGAUCCAAAGCCAGGGGGCAGGAGCUUCUUCCAGGUCUCCCAUGCAGGUGUAGGGGCCCAAGGGCUUGGGCCAUCCUCUACUGCUUUCCCAGGCCAUAGCACAGAGCUGGAUAGGAAGUGGAGCAGCCAGGACUAACUGGGGCCCAUAUAGAAUGCUGGCACUGCAGGUGGAAAUUUUACCCACUACACCACAGUGGUCUCUGGGUUUGUCAUAAAUUGCUUUGAUUGUGUUGAGAAAUUUUUUUUUUUUUUGACAAGCAGAGUGGAUAGUGAGAGAGAGAGACAGAGAGAAAAGUCUUCCUUUUGCCGUUGGUUCACCCUCCAAUGGCCGCCAUGGCUGGCACGCUGUGGCCGGCACACCACACUGAUCUGAAGGCAGGAGCCAGGUGCUUCUCCUGGUCUCCCAUGAGGUGCAGGGCCCAAGCACUUGGGCCAUCCUCCACUGCCUUCCUGGGCCAUAGCAGAGAGCUGGCCUGGAAGAGGGGCAACCGGGACAGAAUCCGGCACCCCGACCGGGACUAGAACCCGGUGUGCCGGCGCCACAAGGCGGAGGAUUAUCCUAGUGAGCCGCGGCGCUGGCCAAGAAAUGUUCUUUCUAUACCAAAGUUUUUUAAGCUUUCCAUCAUGAAACGAUAUUGUAUUUUGUCACAUACUUUCUCUGAAUCUAUUGAGAUAAUCAUGUUUUUGUUCUUUAGUUUGUUACUGUGAUAUAGCACAUUUACUGAUUCACAAAUGUUGAACCAUCCCGGUAGACCAGGGAUGAAUCCCACCUGGUCCAAGUGAAUGAUACUUCUGAUGUGUUGUUGGAUUUGAUUAACUAGCAUUUUGUUGAGGAUUUUCUGUCUCUAUGUUCAUCAGGUUUAUUGGUAUGUAAUUCUCUUUCUGUGUUGUAUCUUUUUCGAGUUUGGAGGUUAAGGUGAUGGCGUCUUCAUAGAAGGAGUUUGGGAGAAUUUUCUCUCAAUUGUUUUGAAUAGCUUGAGAAGAAUUGGAAUCUAUUCAUCUUUAACUAGUAAAAUUAAGGAAUGAAGUAAUCUAGUUCUGGGAUUUUCUUUGUUGUGAGGUCUUCAUUACUGAUUCAGUCUCCGUCUGGAUACUGGUGUGCUUACAUUUUGCAUGUCUUCAUAAUUAAAUUUUUGUAGGUUUCAUGCAUUCAGGAAUCAAUCUAUUUCCUUUAUGAUUCCUGAUUUGUUGGUGUGCAGCUCUUUGUAGUUAUUUCUGAUUUUUUAAAUUUCUGUGGUAUCUGUUGUUACAUUUCUUUUUUCAUCUUUGAUUUUAUUAAUUUGGGUCUUCUCAUCUCAUUUUUUUUGGUUUGUGGACCAUUGACAUAUCAAUGUUUUUUCAAAAAAAAUCCAACUCUUCAUUUCACUGAUCUUUAGUAUUGCUUUUUUGGCUUCAAUUUUAUUUAUUUUUUAAAAAAGAUUUUAGGUAUUUAUUUGAGAGAGUUACAGACAGAGAAGGAGAGACAAUUUGUCUCUGCUGACAAUAUGGUGACUCUCCCCACCAGCUGCAGCUGAGCAGCUGCAGUUACCUCCACUGUUCCCCCCAGUUGCUGGGUGUGUGCCCAAGACCUGCAGGAGCUGUUGCCUAUCUAUAUACAAAAUGGCACUCUCCCUAUCUCAGCCAGUUGCCAGGUGCCAUUAUGGGCGUAUAGGAAGAGAGAGAUGUGCUUAUUUUCUUUUUCUCUGGGUCAGCAGGCAUCCAUCAGGGCUCUGGACUGGUCUCAAUGACAGUGUAGUUUGCUCAUCUCUCACUCCCUCUGGCAAUAUCACCAGUGGAAUUGACCACUACAGUCUGAUUUCAUCUUGCUUUCCAAAGCUGGCACUUUCUCAGGUUCAGAGAUGCUGGGGUCAUUUGUUAUGUCAGUGUUCAUUGCUGUGCAUCUAUACCUUCUACACAGAUUCAUAGCCCCUCCUUCUACACAAUGUCCUCUUCAACUUUCUCUCCAACUCUCCCCUGAAAGUGCACUUUCUCUAUAUAUAGGUUGAACCUUUUACCAUUAUAACAAUCUGUGGGCCCUACCUCAAGAAAUAAUCUGAAGGUAUUCACCUGCCAAAGUCUUCUAUAAAUUCCAUCACAUUGGGGAUAAAAUCUUCAAUGUAUAAUUUGUUGAAGAAAAAAUUAGUUUGUAAUCUUCUACAGCUGCUGAUCCCACAAAUUCUUCCAUGAGAACUACAUUCAUUCCAUUAUAGUAGUCUGAUAGUCUUAAUAUUUAAAUUAAUUCUAAAUCUAAAAUCCAAUCUCAUUUAAGCAUCCUCUAAAUUGAAUAUGACAGAAAUGAGAUAUAUGACUUCUUCUGGACAAAAAUUCCUGUAAACAACUAAACCACACAAGUUAUGUGUUCCCAUAAUACAAUGGUAAGGUCACCAAAGGAUAGAUAUUCUCAUUCUACAUCAAGAAAUAUUAAAGAAAGUGAGAGAGGUAGGUCCCAAUGAAAUUCAAAACAUAGCAAAACAAAUGCCGUCAUGUAUUAAUGCUGAAGAAUAAUGCUGUUUAAUUGGAGACUCCAUUUUCCAGAAGUAGAGGUGACAGCAUUAUUAUCAUGGCUCUGCAUGAGAAACCAUGGCUCCCAAAAACUGUAUGGCUCUGCACCAUGUAUCAAGUUCUUCCAAGCUCACAGUUCUCAAGGGUAGUAUUGCCCCUAAACCUUUGAUUAUAAUGCAUUUGACCUUAAACAUGAGAAGGUAGCCCUCAUGAUGUCUAAUUAGUUUUGGAGUCUUUCUUACCUGUUAUUUAAUAAGAGCACAUUUUCACAUUCUACUUGCUCCCAUAUUUCCACCUAGUGGUAUCCAAAAAGGCUGACAUCUUUUCUUUAGUUCCUUCCAUAUUUCCCCUUUGUGGUGGAAUGAGAAGGCUAUGCCAAGAUGGCCACUGGCAAGUGAGCACCAGUUACUCAGGAAUGGCUUUGAAACCCACCUGGCAAUGGAGCCUGCCUGGUAACAGGCUGUGAUUGGUUAGGGCAUAAACUGCCCCUUGACCAGAUUGGCUGCCUUGGCUAUAUAAGCUGUUGUACCAACUGAAAUAAAUGAGUCUGCGGGCUGCUCACCUCUGGCCUGCUUUCACCUGACUCCCGGGGUCUGCGUGGUGACUCUGCCUCUUGCCCCCACCAUGCUCCUCCUCUCAGGAAUGAAUCCUCACAGAAGAAAUCAACAGCAACAUCUGGCAUGUCAAUGUGACAGAAAGACAGUGUGUCAGACUCCAUGAGGUCCCCCCUGGAUUUCGACAAGUAGGCCCCUCAAUGUUUUGUGUGCUGUUUGGUUCUGUGAGGGUGAGUACAGAACCCCCUGCUACGCCCCUUUCCUUGUCCUUGUCCUCGAUCUAAAUGACCCUAGGUUAGGCACAUGCCGCUCAGAAGUGUAUGCUGCUUCUCGGCUCCUCCUUUUACUUUCUGUUCACCCAGUGAAUUCACAUAAGGGACUGAUCAUCCCAGAAUUCAGAAGCAGCUCAUCUUCCCUCACUGGAGAGAGGUGACACUCCAGAGACACCGUGUGGGCAUACGGCCUUGACCUAAUGAAUCAAGGAAGUCCCCCACUAAGCACAGGACAUAUGUACGAUCUGAUACACCACUGUCUAUUCUUCUAAGGAAGGGAACCCCCUGCAUAAUGCCAUCAGCCGCUGAGUUGCUAGGGAUUUGCUUUGUAUGGCAGCAGUGCUGUGGGUGUCUUUCCUUUGGCUAGAGUUGGUGUGGUGCACUGCUCUUAAACACUCAAACAUGGGAAAGAUAUCCCCCUCUCAGAAGUGCAUGCAGAUUACUAAACAUAGUCAAUCUGUGAGUGAUCAGACCUGACACUCCAGUUCCCUGUCUCACAGGCAACAGUUGAUAACUUAGGGGGAGAGAGCUCCAACAGUGAAAAUAGCAAUGUAGCAAACAAUGAAAUAAACAAUGUAGCAAUGCCUAGUCAGCCACCUGCCACAUACCUGUGGGAUGAACUUAGAGGACCUCGAGGCAAUAACUCAUGGGAAGUCAUCCCAUCCGACCCAGUGAGGAUCCUCACAUUUGUGGCAGUACUCAGGCACCCCAGGCUCUCAGGGCAACCGUUAGACCCCAUCCCACCCGCAUGUUUGCAGUAAAUGUAGGAGUGGAUGCAAAAUUCAGGCCCUGGAUUCCAACACCUGUAAAAAGCCUUCUGCUAACCAAGGGUCGAGGAUAUGCUUGUGUCUUUCCAGAGAUUAUGGGACAGCCCAUUUGGGUACCAACCAGAAACAUCAAGCCUGCAACUGACAGCCAACCAGAACCAGCUGAACAAGACUGAGAGUCUGCCUUGUUAGCAGAUGCACCUGCCCUAUCAUCCUACCCUGAGAAUCUGCAACUGCCCAUAGCCACAUCCAUUACUGAUUUAAACCCUACUAGCUCUGGUCAGCCACUCAAAUGGCCCACAGACUGUGUGCGGUCAUGCCAUUCCUGAUAACCAUUAUUCCUCAUUCCUACCCCUAUCUGAGCAAGCAAUCCUGUGGUCUCUCGAUUUGAGUGCUGGUUAGUCAACAAUGGGUAAGAUCCCCUGGGGGACAACCUAAGACAGGCACAGCUGUGUACAGAGACCACUUGGAAACAGGGUCAACAAUUAUAUGGCCAAAAUUCAUGCCUCUCAUUGCUCAAAAAUAAACAAAAAUGGGGAAAUGUGAUGGAAUGAGAAGGCCAUGCCAAGAUGGCCACUGGCAAGUGAGCACCAGUUACUCAGGAAUGGCUUUGAAACCCACCUGGCAAUGGAGCCUGCCUGGCAACAGGCUGUGAUUGGUUAGGGCAUAAACUGCCCCUUGACCAGAUUGGCUGCCUUGGCUAUAUAAGCUGUUGUACCAACUGAAAUAAAUGAGUCUGCGGGCUGCUCGCCUCUGGCCUGCUUUCACCCGACUCCCGGGGUCUGUGUGGUGACUCCGCCACUCUUGCCCCCACCAUGCUCCUCCUCUCAGGAACAAAUCCUCACAGAAGACAUCAACAGCAACACCACUUCUUUUAAACAUACCAAUUAUUCUCCACAUAGAAUAUAGUUUACUCGUCAGUGAUGUUCCAGCUACGGCAUUUGUUCUAUUCUAAAUAUUCAUUCUCUUAUGAUAUGGACAGGCUUUCUUUAUCAAAAAUUUUCACAUUUGUUCUGUUUUAGUAUCCUUUACACCCUCAGUAUAUUGCUCUCCUUUUCCACUGUACUAUAAUAUUAGGAGAAACUAAGCCAUUCUGUCGAUAUUUUGUUUAGAAUUCUGUUAAAUUAAAUUUGUUAUUUCAUUUCUCAUAAGUUUUUCUUGAGACCAGUGCUGUGGUGCUGUGGGUUAAUGCCCUGGUUUGAAGUGCCAGCAUCCAUAUAGGGACCAGUUUGAGACCCAGCCGCUCCACUUCCAAUCCAGCUCUUUGCUAUGGCCUGGGUAAACAGUAGAAGAUGGCCCAAGUCCUUGGAACCUGCACCCAUGUGGGAGACCUGGAAGAAGCUCCUGGCCCCUGGCUUUGAACCAUCACAGCUCCAGCCAUUGCAGCCAAUCGGGGAGUGAACCAUUGGAUGGAAGACCUCUCUCUCUCUCUCUCUCUCUCCCUCUAUCUCUAUCUCUCUUUCUCUGCCUCUCCUCUCUCUGUGUAACUCUGACUUUUGAAUAAAUAAAUCUUUAAAAAAAGAGAACAUUUUCUCAUUCUGUUGGUUGUAUCUUCACUUUGCUGAGUGUUUCUUUUUUAAGAUUUAUUUUUAUUUAUUUGAAAGAAUUACAAAGAGAGGUAGAGAUAGAGAGGUUCUUCCAUCUGCUGGUUCACUCCCCAGAUGGCUGCAACAGCCAUAGCCAUGCCAAUCUGAAGCCAGGAGAUUCCUCUGGGUCUCUCAUGUGGGUGCAGGGGCCCAAGCACUUGGGCCAUCCUCCACUGCUAUCCCAGGCCACAGCAGAGAACUGGCUUGGAAGAGGAGCAGCCAGGGCUAGAAUCAGUGCCCAUAUGGGAUGCCAGUGCUUUAAGCCAGGGCUUUAACCUCUGCGCCACAGCUCUGACCCCCUUGCUGAGUAUUUCUUUUGCAGUGCAAAAGCGUCUCAGUUUGAUGUAAUCCCAUUUAUCAAAUUUGGCUUUGAUUGUGCUUCUGGAGUCUUCUCCAAGAGUCUUUGCUUAUGCCAACAUCUUACAGUGUUUCCCAAUGUUCUCUAGUAAUUUGAUGUUAUGGGGUUGUAGAUUUAGGUCUUUGAUUAAUUUUGAGUGUAUUUUUGUGUAAGGUAGGAGUCUCAUUUUAUAUUUUUGCAUGCCUAGAUCCAGUUUUCUCAGAAUCACCAUUUGUUGAAGAGUUUGUCUUUGCUCCAGGAAUUUAUUUUAGCUCCUUUGUAAAAAAUAAGUUGGUUGUAGAUGUGUGGAUUGAUUGCUGCAUUUUCUAUUUUGUUUCACUGGUUUACACAUUUGCUUCUCUACCAGUACCAGGCUGUUUUGAUUAUAAUUGCCUGUAAUAUGUUUUUUUAAGAUUUAUUUUUUUUGAAAGUUGGAGUUACACAGAGAGAGGAGAGGCAGA